UGGGGAAUAUUGGACAAUGGGCGCAAGCCUGAUCCAGCCAUGCCGCGUGAGUGAUGAAGGCCUUAGGGUUGUAAAGCUCUUUCGCCGACGAAGAUAAUGACGGUAGUCGGAGAAGAAGCCCCGGCUAACUUCGUGCCAGCAGCCGCGGUAAUACGAAGGGGGCUAGCGUUGUUCGGAAUCACUGGGCGUAAAGCGCACGUAGGCGGAUUGUUAAGUCAGGGGUGAAAGCCUGGAGCUCAACUCCAGAACUGCCCUUGAUACUGGCAAUCUCGAGUCCGGAAGAGGUAAGUGGAACUGCGAGUGUAGAGGUGAAAUUCGUAGAUAUUCGCAAGAACACCAGUGGCGAAGGCGGCUUACUGGUCCGGUACUGACGCUGAGGUGCGAAAGCGUGGGGAGCAAACAGGGUUAGAUACCCUGGUAGUCCACGCCGUAAACGAUGGAGGCUAGCCGUUGGCGAGCAUGCUCGUCAGUGGCGCAGCUAACGCAUUAAGCCUCCCGCCUGGGGGAGUACGGUCGCAAGAUUAAAACUUAAAUGAAUUGACGGGGUCAUAGCUGUUU
rnacentral:rRNA from 1 species